rnacentral:rRNA from 1 species
AACGAACGCUGGCGGCAUGCCUAAUACAUGCAAGUCGAACGAGAUCUUCGGAUCUAGUGGCGCACGGGUGCGUAACGCGUGGGAAUCUGCCCUUUGGUUCGGAAUAACUUCUGGAAACGGAAGCUAAUACCGGAUGAUGACGUAAGUCCAAAGAUUUAUCGCCAGAGGAUGAGCCCGCGUAGGAUUAGCUAGUUGGUGAGGUAAAGGCUCACCAAGGCUACGAUCCUUAGCUGGUCUGAGAGGAUGAUCAGCCACACUGGGACUGAGACACGGCCCAGACUCCUACGGGAGGCAGCAGUAGGGAAUAUUGGACAAUGGGCGCAAGCCUGAUCCAGCAAUGCCGCGUGAGCGAUGAAGGCCUUAGGGUUGUAAAGCUCUUUUACCCGGGAUGAUAAUGACAGUACCGGGAGAAUAAGCCCCGGCUAACUCCGUGCCAGCAGCAGCCGCCG